rnacentral:rRNA from 1 species
CCUACGGGUGGCAGCAGUGAGGAAUAUUGGUCAAUGGACGAGAGUCUGAACCAGCCAAGUAGCGUGAAGGAUGACUGCCCUAUGGGUUGUAAACUCCUUUUAUAUGGGAAUAAAUUGUUCAACGUGUGGGAUUUCGUAUGUACCAUAUGAAUAAGGAUCGGAUAACUUCGUGCCAGCAGCCGCGGUAAUACGGAGGAUCCGAACGUUAUCCGGAUGUAUUUGGUUUAAAGGGAGCGUAGGUGGAUUGUUAAGUCAGUUGUGAAAGUUUGCGGCUCAACCGUAAAAUUGCAGUUGAAACUGGCAGUCGUGAGUACAGUAGAGGUGAGCGGAAUUCGUGGUGUAGCGGUGAAAUGCGUAGAUAUCACGAAGAACUCCGAAGGCGAAGGCAGCUCACUGGACUGCAACUGACACUGAGGGUCGAAAGUGUGGGUAUCAAACAGGAUUAGAUACCCCAGUAGUC